rnacentral:rRNA from 1 species
UGGGGAAUAUUGGGCAAUGGGCGCAAGCCUGACCCAGCAACGCCGCGUGAAGGAAGAAGGCCCUCGGGUUGUAAACUUCUUUUGACAGGGACGAAACAAAUGACGGUACCUGUCGAAUAAGCCACGGCUAACUACGUGCCAGCAGCCGCGGUAAUACGUAGGUGGCAAGCGUUAUCCGGAUUUACUGGGUGUAAAGGGCGUGUAGGCGGGCUGGCAAGUCAGAUGUGAAAACCAUGGGCUCAACCCAUGGCCUGCAUUUGAAACUGUUGGUCUUGAGUGCUGGAGAGGCAAUCGGAAUUCCGUGUGUAGCGGUGAAAUGCGUAGAUAUACGGAGGAACACCAGUGGCGAAGGCGGAUUGCUGGACAGUAACUGACGCUGAGGCGCGAAAGCGUGGGGAGCAAACA